rnacentral:rRNA from 1 species
UACGUAGGGCGCGAGCGUUGUCCGGAAUUAUUGGGCGUAAAGAGCUCGUAGGCGGUUUGUCGCGUCUGCCGUGAAAGUCCGGGGCUCAACUCCGGAUCUGCGGUGGGUACGGGCAGACUAGAGUGAUGUAGGGGAGACUGGAAUUCCUGGUGUAGCGGUGAAAUGCGCAGAUAUCAGGAGGAACACUGAUGGCGAAGGCAGGUCUCUGGGCAUUAACUGACGCUGAGGAGCGAAAGCAUGGGGAGCGAACAGG